GUAGUCCUUGCCGUAAACUAUGUAUACUUGAUGUAACCGGACUCAACCCUGGUUGUGUCGAAGCUAACGCGAUAAGUAUACCGCCUGGGAAGUACGCUCGCAAGGGUGAAACUCAAAAGAAUUGACGGGGACCCGCACAAGCAGUGGAGCAUGUGGUUUAAUUCGAUGCAACGCGAAGAACCUUACCCAGGUUUGACAUGCACAGGACGUACCUAGAGAUAGGUAUUCCCUUCGGGGCCUGUGCACAGGUGCUGCAUGGCUGUCGUCAGCUCGUGCCGUGAGGUGUUUGGUUAAGUCCAGCAACGAGCGCAACCCUUAUCACUAGUUGCCAACACGUAAAGGUGGGAACUCUAGUGAGACUGCCCGGGUUAACCGGGA
rnacentral:rRNA from 1 species